AUGCAAGUUUUAGCGAGAGAAUUUAUUUAUUUGAAUAAUGGGUGAAUUUAUUUUAUUUGCAGUGAUUAAUAUUAUUAAUUAAAGAAAUUUAGAAAUAGAAAUUCUAUUUAGUAUUGGCAAAAUUUGUGCCAGCAGCCGCGGUUAUACUAAUAAUACGAAUAAGUCGAUUUCAGUAAGAGUUAAAUUGAAUAUGUAAAAAUAGAAAUGAAUUUGUUAGGUGAAAUUUUAAAUUUAUUUAUUUUUUAGAUUGGGUAGUUGAAGCUUGUAAAUUUUAAUUUAAAACUAGGAUUAGAUACCCUAUUAUUUAAGAUGUAAAUUAUUUGUUAAGGUAGUAGUAGUUAUGUUCUUGAAACUUAAAAAAUUUGGCGGUAUUUUAGUCUGUUCAGAGGAACUUGUCCUGUAAUCGAUAAUCCACGAUGGACCUUACUUAAGUUUGUCAUUCAGUUUGUAUACCGUCGUUAUCAGAAUAUUUUAUAAGGAUAAUAAUUUUCUAUAUUUUUAAUAAAAAUUCAUAUCAGAUCAAGGUGUAGCUAAUAUUUAAGUAGAGAUGAGUUACAAUAAAAUUAUUUAAACGGAGUCAUGUUUGAAAUGUUUGAUGAAGGUGGAUUUGAUAGUAAAAUUAUAUAGAUUAUUAAUUUGAUUUUAGCUCUAAAAUAUGCACACAUCGCCCGUCACUCUUACUAUUAAGGUAAGAUAAGUCGUAACAUAGUAGAUGUACUGGAAAGUGUAUCUAGAAUG
rnacentral:ncRNA from 1 species